rnacentral:lncRNA from 1 species
GUCAACCAAAUUUAUAAAGACACUUUGUACAAAUAGCAUAAUACUUUUAAACAAAUGCAUAGAUUUUAUGUUGGAAUAACGAUCUGAACAUCUUUCUAGUAAGUGGAGCAACUUUAGAAUGUGCAGACACCCCGCAGUUUCUUUUUGUUCAAGUAUUUAGUUUGACUCUUAAAAUCUUGAAGACGUGGCAAUAAGGUCGAUCAUGUUUCGACAAGAAUUUUCAGGACUCCGUUGAAAUUAAAAAUUUUAUUAAAAGUUUCUCGUUUAUUUACAUUUUAACUGCAAUUUAAAUUGAAAUAAAAAAAAAUAAAAAUCCAAACAUAUAUGUACGAGUUUGAGGCAGGACCAUGUUCUUGUAUGUAUUAAGCUGGUCUGCUACAUUUUGAUUGACAUUCUUUCACAUACACGAAUAAAUCCCGUGUGAAUAAAAUAGUUAGAAAAAAGUGGACUCAUUGUAACCAGGGGAAAGUUUUUGUAACAGGGAGGCUGAUCGCCUCCUGACAGAAGCCCCCCACAAAUGGGGGUCGGGCCCACAAAAAAUGGACCUCCCCUCCUAGGUCAGGGCGCGGUCAGCCCCCUAUUCCUGUGGCAAAUUCGUUGUAACUAUUGAUCAAAUUGUAUGUGAAUCAUUAAGUAACAACGUAGCAUGAUUCUGUGGGUAUGGCCCCAGUACGCUCAAAAGACUACAAAUCGGAAUGGGACAAUAUUUUGCCAUCCUAAAAUCCUGUGCUUUUCAUGUAUUCUGUCAAAUUCAUUAGUGUUCAUUAAUGUUUCGCAACCUUAUUGAAUUUAUUGAUAACGUGGUAAAUUACUUAUCAUUUGAUUUUCCUUAAAAUUGCCGCUUUCGUUUUGUUAUCUGAAAUUUCUAAUCUAAGGGAUCAUGGCAGUGCUAAAUGCACAAACUUCCAUUGACGAGUGUGAAAAUUCAAAAUUGUGACUGAUCACAUGCUUCUUCCUUUGCCACCGGGCUUUUCACGUCGGUGUUCGCGGCCAAAAGUGGAGGGGUGGCCUUUUCACCCUUCUCAACCCCUUUUCCCGUUGAAAUGCAGAAAACUCUCUCUCACAUUAUAAUCCCAUAAGAGAAAAAGAAGAUCGAAGUGAAAGCCCAACAUUCUCUUUUCUUCCGUUAUCUUUAUUUAAAGAAGGUGAAUUUCGCCCAAUUCUUUACAUUUCUGUGUUUAAAUUACAAUUAAAUCUGGUUGCAUUAAAUCGUCGUCUUUUUUUAUUUUUAUUUAUUUAUUUAUUUAUUUAUUUGUCAAGGAAUCCCAAUUUUCAAAUUUCCAGGCAAUGCAAACUGUACUAUGGCUAGUUUGGUUUUGUGGAUUUUUCUUGAUAGGUGAUUCCUUAUACGCCACCCAAAUGCUGCUGCCCUCUUCUUUUAAAAAUCAGAUUAAUAACCAAGCCAUUUUAGUAGUGGUUUUGUUGAUUCAAAAUGUCCUACAAUCACCAUAUUUACUGUACCAAGGCCUUAUGAUGGUUUUAUUGGGGAAAGGCAGGUUCUUAUCUGUAGGAUCGAAUUCCACAGCCAAGCAAUGCAAAACCGGGCUCAGUUUACUCAAAACGUCGACACCAUUUCAUGAGACAACUCCAAUAUCAUCUUGUACCACCAAGGUCCGGUUGCUAUGGAUAUAGGAAGGAGAAGGCCAAGAAAAUACCCACAAUAUGUCAACCACAAAGGUCACAGAGAGGGAGGGAAGAAACCGGCCGAGAGGGAGAGACUCACAAAGAGGGAUUUUCACUCUAAAAUGGAGGCCGAGAGAUUGAGAGGAAUAUAUGCCAAGGGUAUUGUCCAAACAAGGUAAGUUACAAUUAGGGCUAAGUGGUGGAUCAAGGCUCGACUCAAAUAAUUGGGCCUCAACACAUAGCCUUCCAAGGAGUGGUGCGGGAACCGUGAGUAACACUAUAAAAUAGGUUACUUCGAACGGUCCAUAACAAGGUGGAUUGUGUUGUCUCGUUAAUUGUGUCGACGUGCUAAUCAAUCAUUAGGCCGAGGCCGAUUGAUAAUAAAAAAACCGAGGUUACAUCAUCGCCCGGGGAGGUCGUUUGACAACAAAAAAUUGCCUAACAUUAUCGGAAAUGUUAACGUUCUUUUUACCCCAGGAUUCUUCUGUUAUCUCUUUUGCAGUUGAAUUCGGUUCUCGGGUCUCUGUUGAGACUAAUAUUGUUUUCGGUUAAGGAUUAGCAAUGUUUAUAUUGGAUUAUUGAUCGUUUUGUAAUGCUGUUUUUGGGGAGCAAUUUAGUGUUAACUAAUGUAAUUGAGUUACGUGUUUGAGAAUGUUUACAUUUUUGACAUACACAGACAAUGAUUAGAUUAAACAAUUACCGGAAUCUCUAAGGUGCAUAAUCACUACGGAAGCUGCUAAAUUCAGUUCUUUAUAGCUGAUUUGGAAAGUGUGUUUGGAGCUAGCUAAGCAUGAAUGAACUAUUUUGAUUUGAUUUGAUUUGAUUUAUCUGAUUUCCAUUCCAAAGACCUAAUGUUGGACCACCUAAUGAAUGGAGAAUGAGAGUUUACUAUUGAACUUCUAUGCAAGAAAUAGUUCUUCGAUUUGAUUUAUCUAAUUUUGGUUCCGAAGAUCUAAUGCUAGGCCAGUGGCCACCUGAUAAAUGGAUAGAACUUUGGUGUGGACAAAUUUCUGAUUUUCCAAUUACCUUAAACAAUUUUGGAAUAGUAUUUUAAUUUACUAUAAACUUGUUCCCUGUUUGAUAUUCUGUUCAGGUUUAUAGGUACACCGUUUUCUCAUUCGAUGGUGGCAAGGUCUCUGGCAUCAUCACCAGAUGUUUUUGUGUUGAUUGAUCCUGACACCAUUCUUCUACCAAACUUUAUUCCACUCUUGCAUAUGCUUACAAGCUAGACCAAGAUUGGUUUCUUGGUUGUUUCAUUACAAACUAUUUUGCAUUUUCAUUUUCAUUUGGACUCAAGUGGGAAACUUUGGAUAAUCGGUGACGGUAAGCUCUGAUGCUCGGACUCUUCAAAAUAGUUGGAAUACCCGUGUCGGACACGACACGACGUGGGUAUGGGUAUGAGAUAUGUGUCGGAUCCUUCAAAUUUUAACCGGACACUUCGUUUCUUUCGCUUUUCUUUUUUUCUUUCCUUUCCUUUUCUUCUUUCCCGUUUCUAAUUAGUUCUCCACUUAGUCCAAAUUAUAAUCAAAUCCCUUAUUUUCUAUUUUAUAUAACAUUUAAUAAUGUCUAUAAUUGAAAACUAAACCCUAAAUUCUAUUUUAUUUGUCUCAACUCUUUAUUCAAUAUCAAUUUCCUUCUUUGUGAAUAAUUAAUUUUGAUUUAUUCAAAAUGACUUCUUGAAUUAGUAAAAAAAUUGAACCUUGAAAGACAUAUCCACGUACCCGUGUUCGAAAAUUGGACUCUAUUUAACCAUGUUUCCGGAUCUUAUAUUUUAGAAAAUAAAAGAUCCGAUACCUAGAUAUGUACCCAUACCGGAUACCCGUACCCGAGUCCG